rnacentral:rRNA from 1 species
GACGAACCGUGCGAACGUUGUUCGGAAUCACUGGGCUUAAAGGGCGCGUAGGCGGGCCAUAAAGUCAGGGGUGAAAUCCCUCAGCUUAACUGAGGAACUGCCUUUGAUACUGAUGGUCUCGAGUAAGGUAGGGGCAUGCGGAACUGAUGGUGGAGCGGUGAAAUGUGUUGAUAUCAUCAGGAACUCCGGUGGCGAAGGCGGCAUGCUGGACCUUCACUGACGCUGAGGCGCGAAAGCUAGGGUAGCGAACGGG